UACGUAGGGGGCAAGCGUUGUCCGGAUUUAUUGGGCGUAAAGAGCGUGUAGGCGGCCAGGUAGGUCAGCUGUGAAAACUCGAGGCUCAACCCGUCGAGAUGUCGGCUGAAACCAUCUGGCUAGAGUCCGGAAGAGGAGAAUGGAAUUCCCGGUGGUAGCGGUGAAAUGCGCAGAUAUCAGGAGGAACACCAAUUGCGAAGGCAGCGUCGCUGGGACGUUACUGACGCUGAGACGCGAAAGCGUGGGGAGCAAACAGG
rnacentral:rRNA from 1 species